rnacentral:rRNA from 1 species
GGAUGACGGGAGCUUGCUCCUUGAUUCGCGGCGGACGGGUGAGUAAUGCCUAGGAAUCUGCCUGGUAGUGGGGGACAACGUUUCGAAAGGAACGCUAAUACCGCAUACGUCCUACGGGAGAAAGCAGGGGACCUUCGGGCCUUGCGCUAUCAGAUGAGCCUAGGUCGGAUUAGCUAGUUGGUGAGGUAAUGGCUCACCAAGGCGACGAUCCGUAACUGGUCUGAGAGGAUGAUCAGUCACACUGGAACUGAGACACGGUCCAGACUCCUACGGGAGGCAGCAGUGGGGAAUAUUGGACAAUGGGCGAAAGCCUGAUCCAGCCAUGCCGCGUGUGUGAAGAAGGUCUUCGGAUUGUAAAGCACUUUAAGUUGGGAGGAAGGGCAGUAAGUUAAUACCUUGCUGUUUUGACGUUACCGACAGAAUAAGCACCGGCUAACUCUGUGCCAGCAGCCGCGGUAAUACAGAGGGUGCAAGCGUUAAUCGGAAUUACUGGGCGUAAAGCGCGCGUAGGUGGUUCGUUAAGUUGGAUGUGAAAGCCCCGGGCUCAACCUGGGAACUGCAUCCAAAACUGGCGAGCUAGAGUACGGUAGAGGGUGGUGGAAUUUCCUGUGUAGCGGU